UACGUAGGGGGCUAGCGUUGUCCGGAAUCAUUGGGCGUAAAGAGCGUGUAGGCGGUCCGGUAAGUCCGCUGUGAAAGUCGGGGGCUCAACCCUCGAAUGCCGGUGGAUACUGUCGGGCUAGAGUGCGGAAGAGGCGAGUGGAACUCCUGGUGUAGCGGUGGAAUGCGCAGAUAUCAGGAAGAACACCAACGGCGAAGGCAGCUCGCUGGGACGGUACUGACGCUGAGACGCGAAAGCGUGGGGAGCGAACAGG
rnacentral:rRNA from 1 species